GCCGAGGUGGCGGAACUGGCAGACGCAACGGACUUAAAAUCCGUCGGAUAGAAAUAUCCGUACCGGUUCGAUUCCGGUCCCCGGCACCA
rnacentral:tRNA from 23 species